rnacentral:rRNA from 1 species
AUAAGGUUAAGUGAAUAAGGGCGCACGGUGGAUGCCUUGGCACUAGGAGCCGAUGAAGGACGGGACUAACACCGAUAUGCUUUGGGGAGCUGUACGUAAGCUAUGAUCCAGAGAUUUCCGAAUGGGGAAACCCAACAUCUUUUAUAGGAUGUUACGUUUGCGUGAAUACAUAGCGCAUUCGAGGUAGACGCAGAGAACUGAAACAUCUAAGUACCUGCAGGAAGAGAAAGAAAAUUCGAUUCCCUGAGUAGCGGCGAGCGAAACGGGAAAAGCCCAAACCAAUGAGCUUGCUCAUUGGGGUUGUAGGACUCCAAUAUGGUAGUUCUUUCAGAUAAUCGAAUGACUUGGAAAAGUCAGUCAAAGAGGGUAAAAACCCCGUAGAUGAAAUUUGGAAGGCACCUAGGAGGAUCCUGAGUACGGCGGAACACGAGGAAUUCCGUCGGAAUCCGGGAGGACCAUCUCCCAAGGCUAAAUACUCCCUAGUGACCGAUAGUGAACCAGUACCGUGAGGGAAAGGUGAAAAGCACCCCGGAAGGGGAGUGAAAUAGAACCUGAAACCGUGUGCCUACAACAAGUCAAAGCCCGUUAAUGGGUGAUGGCGUGCCUUUUGUAGAAUGAACCGGCGAGUUACGAUUGCAUGCGAGGUUAAGUCGAAGAGACGGAGCCGCAGCGAAAGCGAGUCUGAAUAGGGCGUUUGAGUAUGUAGUCGUAGACCCGAAACCAUGUGAUCUACCCAUGUCCAGGUUGAAGGUGCGGUAAAACGCACUGGAGGACCGAACCCACGUACGUUGAAAAGUGCGGGGAUGAGGUGUGGGUAGCGGAGAAAUUCCAAACGAACUUGGAGAUAGCUGGUUCUCUCCGAAAUAGCUUUAGGGCUAGCCUCGGAUUUGAGAAUGAUGGAGGUAGAGCACUGUUUGGACUAGGGGCCCAUCUCGGGUUACCGAAUUCAGAUAAACUCCGAAUGCCAUUCAUUCAUAUCCGGGAGUCAGACUGUGAGUGAUAAGAUCCAUAGUCGAAAGGGAAACAGCCCAGACCACCAGCUAAGGUCCCAAAAUAUAUGUUAAGUGGAAAAGGAUGUGGGGUUGCACAGACAACUAGGAUGUUGGCUCAGAAGCAGCCACCAUUUAAAGAGUGCGUAAUAGCUCACUAGUCGAGUGACCCUGCGCCGAAAAUGUACCGGGGCUAAACAUAUUACCGAAGCUGUGGAGUACACCAUUAGGUGUAUUGGUAGGAGAGCGUUCUAAGGGCGUUGAAGGCAGAUCGUGAGGACUGCUGGAGCGCUUAGAAGUGAGAAUGCCGGUAUGAGUAGCGAAAGACAGGUGAGAAUCCUGUCCACCGAAUGACUAAGGUUUCCUGGGGAAGGCUCGUCCGCCCAGGGUUAGUCGGGACCUAAGCCGAGGCCGACAGGCGUAGGCGAUGGACAACAGGUUGAUAUUCCUGAACUCGUUGUUUUUGUUUGAGCAAUGGAGGGACGCAGGAGGCUAAGGAAUGCAGACGAUUGGAAAUGUCUGUCCAAGCAGUAAGUCUUGAUAGGAGUCAAAUGCUUCUGUCUACACGGAUAAGCUGUGAUGGGGAGGGAAAUAAUAGUACCGAAGUUCCUGAUGUCACACUGCCAAGAAAAGCUUCUAGUGAGAAAACAAUGACCCGUACCGCAAACCGACACAGGUAGUCGAGGAGAGAAUCCUAAGGUGAGCGAGAGAACUCUCGUUAAGGAACUCGGCAAAAUGACCCCGUAACUUCGGGAGAAGGGGUGCUGAUCUUUGAUCAGCCGCAGUGAAUAGGCCCAAGCGACUGUUUAUCAAAAACACAGGUCUCUGCAAAAUCGUAAGAUGAAGUAUAGGGGCUGACGCCUGCCCGGUGCUGGAAGGUUAAGAGGAGUGCUUAGCGUAAGCGAAGGUACGAAUUGAAGCCCCAGUAAACGGCGGCCGUAACUAUAACGGUCCUAAGGUAGCGAAAUUCCUUGUCGGGUAAGUUCCGACCCGCACGAAAGGCGUAACGAUUUGGGCACUGUCUCAACGAGAGACUCGGUGAAAUUUUAGUACCUGUGAAGAUGCAGGUUACCCGCGACAGGACGGAAAGACCCCAUGGAGCUUUACUGUAGUUUGAUAUUGAGUGUCUGUACCGCAUGUACAGGAUAGGUAGGAGCCGUAGAAAUCGGAACGCUAGUUUCGAUGGAGGCGCUGGUGGGAUACUACCCCUGCGUUAUGGCCACUCUAACCCGCACCACUGAUCGUGGUGGGAGACAGUGUCAGAUGGGCAGUUUGACUGGGGCGGUCGCCUCCUAAAAGGUAACGGAGGCGCCCAAAGGUUCCCUCAGAAUGGUUGGAAAUCAUUCGAAGAGUGUAAAGGCAGAAGGGAGCUUGACUGCGAGACCAACAAGUCGAGCAGGGACGAAAGUCGGGCUUAGUGAUCCGGUGGUUCCGCAUGGAAGGGCCAUCGCUCAACGGAUAAAAGCUACCCUGGGGAUAACAGGCUUAUCUCCCCCAAGAGUCCACAUCGACGGGGAGGUUUGGCACCUCGAUGUCGGCUCGUCGCAUCCUGGGGCUGUAGUCGGUCCCAAGGGUUGGGCUGUUCGCCCAUUAAAGCGGCACGCGAGCUGGGUUCAGAACGUCGUGAGACAGUUCGGUCCCUAUCCGUCGCGGGCGUUGGAAAUUUGAGAGGAGCUGUCCUUAGUACGAGAGGACCGGGAUGGACUUACCGCUGGUGUACCAGUUGUUCUGCCAAGGGCAUUGCUGGGUAGCUAUGUAGGGAAGGGAUAAACGCUGAAAGCAUCUAAGUGUGAAGCCCACCUCAAGAUGAGAUUUCCCAUUUCUUUAAGAAAGUAAGAUCCCUGAGAGAUGAUCAGGUAGAUAGGUCAGGAGUGGAAGGCCAGUGAUGGUUGGAGCGGACUGAUACUAAUCGAUCGAGGACUUAACCAAA